GAUGAACGCCGGCGGUGUGCCUAAUACAUGCAAGUCGUACGCACUGGCCCAACUGAUUGAUGGUGCUUGCACCUGAUUGACGAUGGAUCACCAGUGAGUGGCGGACGGGUGAGUAACACGUAGGUAACCUGCCCCGGAGCGGGGGAUAACAUUUGGAAACAGAUGCUAAUACCGCAUAACAACAAAAGCCGCAUGGUUUUUGUUUGAAAGAUGGCUUUGGCUAUCACUCUGGGAUGGACCUGCGGUGCAUUAGCUAGUUGGUAAGGUAACGGCCCACCAAGCCUUCGAUGGAUAGGGGUUCUGAGAGGAAGGUCCCCCACAUUGGAACUGAGACACGGUCCAA
rnacentral:rRNA from 1 species